rnacentral:tRNA from 1 species
GGAACGAUGGUGUAGUUGGUUAUCACGUCUGUCUAACAUUUUCACAGACGGUCCUCAGUUCGAGUCUGGGUCGUUUCA